GCUUCAUGAUGAUAUCAAGGCAAAUGUGACUUCAUUGGCAGGCUGCUCCCUCAACCUGUUCCCUUUAUUAAGGUCUGUAAUCUUGGUGGUCAAUACAGAGUAAUGUGUGUUCACUGUAAGGGCAGACCGACAGGAUGUCCCAUUCCUUCUGCCUUCCAGUCUGGAAGUGAUCCAUCUCUUUGUAAAGCGAUACAAGGAGUGUUUAAAUGAGUGGGAACAGGACAAGCUUAGUGUGGCAGGGUUAUGGGUUGUUGGGUGUUGCCAGAGUUAUGGCUGUUGAGGCACCAUGAGCACAAGUCUUUGGUAAUCUGAAAGCU